AUGUUUCUCAAAAUCAUUAGGAAUUAUAAAUAAAUGCACAGGCUGUUCUUGAGGUUUAUUAACACCUAAUGUAAUGAACAAGUCCCUAUUUGUCCGUAUGAGAACCAAACUGCCCUACAUUGGAUUUGGAACAUCCAAAAGGUUUUGGCUAACCUACAAAGUUUUUUUUUUUUUUUUUCUUGCUCUGAAUUUAUUAAAAUUUGAUUUGCACAUGUUAAAUUAAAUCAUAAUGGGAGAUUUUCUUGAAGCAAGAGCACACAGUUAAAAUGUCCCGUCGCUUUUAUUUCACCUCUUUUGCACGUUGUUCGUGGCCCUCGGUCUCAUACAGAGGCAGGUUUAAGAGGCUCCACUGAAAAACCACUGCUUUAAAGCAUUAAUAAAUAAUUGAUUUAAUUAUAAUUUACCCCCAAAAAACUUCUAAUGCACAUUUUUUUUGGAGUGCAAUAAUGCAAAUAUGGACAUUUAUUCCUGCCCCAAAAAACUUGAGUUAAUAUUGAUUCCAAAUUCCACCUCAAAAAGACAAAUAUUGAACAAAUUAACCUUCAGUUCACCAUGCUGGGCUUCAGAUCUGGAGUCAUCUACAUUUAGAUUGAGAAGCGAAUGUGUGAUUGACCUGCUUAAAUCUGUAUUAGUCCUGGUUGGUGGUUUGGAAGUUUGCUGAUGAUAUUUUGACCCUUAUGUCGGAUUAAAAACUCAGGUUUUUCCUCCCAUAUUGAAAUAUCAACAAUGGAAACGAAGUCUCCUUUCAUUAUGACACUCAUCAGUAUGUGUGUGUUGUAGGACUGUUUUUUCCACGUUAUUUAUGACGAUUAAGAAUUUAUUUAUCCCUCCACACUGAAACUGGCCUGUUAUUUGGAAGCAAGCAUUAAAAUGCUGUUAUACACAAGACAAACAAAGAAAAUGUCUUUUAGGCUUCAUAAUAUAUAGCCUGUCACUUUUUUUUUUUUUAUCCUGAUGAGAGAAAACAAGAGUUUCUGAAUCUCCCUGUCGUCUGUAUUCAUUGUUUUGCAAAUCAGAAACUGCUCUGUAUGACAUUUUCUGUUUUUUCCUGUCUUGUUUUUUUUUUUUUUUCCUUUUUUCUCAGAAAAUUAAAGAGAGAAGCGUAACGGGAGGUUUGUCGUUUCUGUGUCUGUAUAAAAUGCUGUGAAGUUCCUGUCGUAGAUUCCUGUUCGUGUCGCCUCCCGACGACACAAAGCAGCAGUUGUUUCUAGUGAACUAUUAAAGCAAACGCUCUGAAUCCG